GUACGUAGGGGGCAAGCGUUGGUCCGGAAUCAUUGGGCGUAAAGCGCACGUAGGCGGCCCGGUAAGUCCGUUGUGAAAGUCAGAGGCUCAACCUCUGGAGGCCAAUGGAUACUGCCGGGCUAGAGUCCGGAAGAGGCGAGUGGAAUUCCUGGUGUAGCGGUGGAAUGCGCAGAUAUCAGGAGGAACACCAAUGGCGAAGGCAGCUCGCUGGGACGGUACUGACGCUGAGGUGCGAAAGCGUGGGGAGCGAUCCGG
rnacentral:rRNA from 1 species